rnacentral:rRNA from 1 species
UACGUAGGGCGCAAGCGUUAUCCGGAAUUAUUGGGCGUAAAAGAGCUCGUAGGCGGUUUGUCGCGUUCUGCCGUGAAAGUCCGGGGCUCAACUCCGGAUCUGCGGUGGGUACGGGCAGACUAGAGUGAUGUAGGGGAGACUGGAAUUCCUGGUGUAGCGGUGAAAUGCGCAGAUAUCAGGAAGAACACCCGUGGCGAAGGCGGCUCUCUGGUGCGUGACUGACGCUGAGACGCGAAAGCGUGGGGGAGCAAACAGG